rnacentral:rRNA from 1 species
UAGGGAGCGAGCGUUAUCCGGAUUUAUUGGGUGUAAAGGGUGCGUAGACGGGGAAUUAAGUUAGUUGUGAAAUCCCAUGGCUCAACUGUGGAACUACAACUAAAACUAAUUUUCUUGAGUACUGGAGAGGAAAGUGGAAUUCCUAGUGUAGCGGUGAAAUGCGUAGAUAUUAGGAGGAACACCAGUGGCGAAGGCGACUUUCUGGACAGAAACUGACGUUGAGGCACGAAAGUGUGGGGAGCAAA